CAUUACCGAGUUCUAAACUCACAACCCAUUGUGAACAUACCUUUGUUGCUUCGGCGGUCAGGCUCCGGCCGCGCCGCCGAAGGCCCUUAAACUCUUGUUUUCCUAGUGACUACUCUGAGUAAAUCUUGAAAUAAAUCAAAACCUUUAACAACGGAUCUCUUGGCUCUGGCAUCGAUGAAGAACGCAGCGAAAUGCGAAAAGUAAUGUGAAUUGCAGAAUUCAGUGAAUCAUCGAAUCUUUGAACGCACAUUGCGCCCGCCGGAACUCCGGCGGGCAUGCCUGUUCGAGCGUCAUUUCAACCCUCAAGACCCACCUUUCGGGGCGGGACUUGGUGUUGGGGCUCGGCCUCCUUCUCGGCGGCCGUCCCCGAAAUGCAGUGGCGGUCACGCCGCAAUCCCUUGCGUAGUAACUUUUGUCUCGCACUGGAAAGCGACGCGGUCCACGCCGUAAAACAACCCAUUUUUUCUGGUUGACCUCGAAUCAGGUAGGAAUAC
rnacentral:sRNA from 1 species